UACGUAGGGGGCUAGCGUUGUCCGGAAUCAUUGGGCGUAAAGAGCGUGUAGGCGGUCCGGUAAGUCCGCUGUGAAAGUCGGGGGCUCAACCCUCGAAUGCCGGUGGAUACUGUCGGGCUAGAGUGCGGAAGAGGCGAGUGGAAUUCCAGGUGUAGCGGUGAAAUGCGUAGAUAUCUGGAGGAAUACCGGUGGCGAAGGCGGCAUCCUGGACCGACAUUGACGCUGAGGAGCGAAAGCUAGGGGAGCAAACGGG
rnacentral:rRNA from 1 species